AACGAACGCUGGCGGCAUGCCUAACACAUGCAAGUCGAACGAACCCUUCGGGGUUAGUGGCGCACGGGUGCGUAACGCGUGGGAAUCUGCCCUUUGCUUCGGAAUAACUCAGUGAAACUUGUGCUAAUACCGGAUGAUGUCUUCGGACCAAAGAUUUAUCGGCAAGGGAUGAGCCCGCGUAGGAUUAGGUAGUUGGUGGUGUAAAGGCCUACCACGCCGACGAUCCUUAGCUGGUCUGAGAGGAUGAUCAGCCACACUGGGACUGAGACACGGCCCAGAAUCCUACGGGAGGCAGCAGUGGGGAAUAUUGGACAACGGGCGCAAGGAUGAUCCAGCAAUGCCGCGUGAGUGAUGAAGGCCCUCGGGUCGUAAAGCUCUUUUACCAGGGAUGAUAAUGACAGUACCUGGAGAAUAAGCUCCGGCUAACUCCGUG
rnacentral:rRNA from 1 species